CCGGCGCUGGGGGGCACCGGUGUGAAACUACCAUGGGUUUCCGGCCCCUGGGCUGGGUCGUGCUUUGUCUCCUGGGAGCAGGCCCCAUGGAAGCCAAGGUGACCCAAACCCUGAGACACCUCAUCACGGGGACCGGAAAGCAGUUGACAAUGCAUUGUUCUCAGGACAUGGACCAUGAUGCUAUGUACUGGUAUCGACAAGACCCAGGGCUGGGUCUACAGCUGAUCCACUAUUCGAGAAAUGAAAACAUUUUAGAAAAGGGAGAUGUCUCCGAUGGGUACACUGUCUCUCGGAAGGACAAGAAGAGUUUCCCCCUGACCCUAAAGUCCACCGGCACCAACCAGACGUCUCUGUAUCUGUGUGCCAGCAGUCUAUCCACAGCGCUGCACAGCCGGCUGCUCUCCGCACAAAAAGGGGACCACAAGAGGAAGGAGGCUCCUUCCUGGGGGGCCCCACCCCAAGUAGGGGCCUUCCCUGACUCCCCAAGUCUGGGGACGCUGAGCAAGCACCUCUGA